AUGGGUUCCGGCUCCCGUUGGUGCGGCGUAGCUGGAAGAACGAACGGUGGUUGUAAAACCUCGGCAGUGAUUAGAGCUGUUACGGAAGUUCUUUCCUACGCGUUCUUCUCUAGUUCUCCCUCAGGUUCUCCUUUUCUUUCUCUUUCCCUUUUUCGGGGUGGUCGAUCCCCUUUUUAUAACACCUCCGAAGCCGGGGACAAAACGUGAUGUUUUGCCAAAAUGUCGGAUUCCGAUCGCUCCCGCCUAUUGUUUAUUAUUUCACUUGCAGGUAGGGUCUUCUGCGAUAAUCCCUGGACACACCUGUACAGGCACAACCUUUCGCCCGCGAUGCGUAAUCUCUUUUUGUUUUUAUUUUACGAUAGUGGGAACUAGGUUUCUUGCCGGGUGUUGCGAUUCUGUAAAUGCCUUCUUUUCAAUCCUAGCUUCCUUUCUCCCGUUU
rnacentral:lncRNA from 1 species